GACGAACGCUGGCGGCGUGCCUAAUACAUGCAAGUCGAGCGGACGGAUGGGAGCUUGCUCCCAGACCGUCAGCGGCGGACGGGUGAGUAACACGUGGGCAACCUGCCUGUAAGACUGGGAUAACUCCGGGAAACCGGGGCUAAUACCGGAUAACUCUUUCCCUCACAUGAGGGAAAGCUGAAAGAUGGCAUCUCGCUAUCACUUACAGAUGGGCCCGCGGCGCAUUAGCUAGUUGGUGAGGUAACGGUUCACCAAGGCGACGAUGCGUAGCCGACCUGAGAGGGUGAUCGGCCACACUGGGACUGAGACACGGCCCAGACUCCUACGGGAGGCAGCAGUAGGGAAUCUUCCGCAAUGGACGAAAGUCUGACGGAGCAACGCCGCGUGAGUGAUGAAGGUUUUCGGAUCGUAAAACUCUGUUGUCAGGGAAGAACAAGUACCGGAGUAACUGCCGGUACCUUGACGGUACCUGACCAGAAAGCCACGGCUAACUACGUG
rnacentral:rRNA from 1 species